rnacentral:rRNA from 1 species
UGCGUAGGCGGGUCUUUAAGUCAGGGGUGAAAUCCUGGAGCUCAACUCCAGAACUGCCUUUGAUACUGAAGAUCUUGAGUUCGGGAGAGGUGAGUGGAACUGCGAGUGUAGAGGUGAAAUUCGUAGAUAUCCGCAAGAACACCAGUGGCGAAGGCGGCUCACUGGCCCGAUACUGACGCUGAGGCACGAAAGCUGGGGAGCAAACA